UACAGAGGUCUCAAGCGUUGUUCGGAUUCAUUGGGCGUAAAGGGUGCGUAGGCGGCGCGGUAAGUCGGGUGUGAAAUCUCGGGGCUUAACUCCGAAACUGCAUUUGAUACUGGCGUGCUUGAGGACUGGAGAGGAGACUGGAAUUUACGGUGUAGCGGUGAAAUGCGUAGAUAUCGUAAGGAAGACCAGUGGCGAAGGCGGGUCUCUGGACAGUUCCUGA
rnacentral:rRNA from 1 species